AUUGAACGCUGGCGGCAGGCCUAACACAUGCAAGUCGAGCGGAGCGGCGGACGGGGGAGUAAUGCCUGGGAAUCUGCCUGGUAGUGGGGGCUAACGUCCGGCAACGGGCGCUAAUACCGCAUACUACCAGAUGAGCCUAGGUCGGCUUAGCUAGUUGGUGGGGUAAAGGCCUACCAAGGCGACGAAACGUAACUGGUCUGCGAGGCUGAUCAGUAAGACUGGAACUGAGAUACGGUCCAGACUCCUACGGGAGGCAGCAUGUGGUAAUAUUGGACAAUGGGCGAAAGCCUGAUCCAGCCAUGCCGCGUGUGUGAAGAAGGUCUUCGGAUUGUAAAGCACUUUAAGUUGGGAGGCGUUACCAACAGAAUAAGCACCGGCUAACUUCGUGCCAGCAGCCGCGGUAAUUC
rnacentral:rRNA from 1 species